UGGAGGAUGCGGUAUUCUGAUUGUCUGGU
rnacentral:piRNA from 1 species